rnacentral:rRNA from 1 species
UACGUAGGGGGCAAGCGUUGUCCGGAAUCAUUGGGCGUAAAGAGCGCGUAGGCGGCCCAGUCAGUCCGCUGUGAAAGUCAGAGGCUCAACCUCUGGAUGCCGGUGGAUACUGCUGGGCUAGAGUCCGGAAGAGGCGAGUGGAAUUCCUGGUGUAGCAGUGAAAUGCGUAGAUAUCAGGAGGAAUACCGAUGGCGAAGGCAGGUCUCUGGGCUGACACUGACGCUCAUGCACGAAAGCGUGGGGAGCAAACAGG